rfam:Oryza barthii chromosome 3, whole genome shotgun sequence.
ACUAAAUAUCCUCCUGUUUUCCGUGUCCAACGUUUGACCGUCCGUCUUAUUUAAAAAAAUUGAAAAAAAAUUAAAAAGAUAAGUCACGCAUAAAGUAUUAAUCAUGUUUUAUCAUCUAACAACAAUAAAAAUACUAAUUAUAAAAAAAUUUCAUAUAAAACGGACAGUCAAAUAUUGGCACGGGAACCCACUGUUUGUUUUUUU